GACACGGGGUGCAAUUAUUUGCUUGAUUGUAAUUGCUGAGAUUAUACCCGUCGAACCUGAUAUAGCUAGUACUAUCGAAGGGAAUGUCGA
rnacentral:ncRNA from 1 species